AGCAAUGACCACCCUGCAUAUGUACCUAUCUCAUCUGAUCUCAGAAGCUAAGUAGGGAGAGCCUAGGUCUGUAUCUCUUGUGUAUAGUGCUCUCUGGAAGUACUUUGGCAGUCAGUACUC
ensembl:rRNA Gm22560 predicted gene, 22560